AAAUGAACAUUGAAAUUUAUGUUGUUCUCCAGUCUGCUACAGUGAUGCAUACACAUUUUGGCUGACUGGACCAAAUAUGUGUUCCCAAUGGAUCCAAGAUCCUUUUAGCAGAGGAAAAAAACAUUGUUGGAGUAUUUACCUUAUAAAGGAUUCAGUUCACUACAUGUGCAGUUUGGAGCAUAUUUUUUCAGUGAUGCCUCUUCAUCCUUGUGAGUAUGUCCAUGCGUAGGCCCGUGAGUAUGGGACAAUGGGCACAAUUUAUCUGAGAGAAAGUACUACAAGUGCCAAAGCCAUGCUGAGUUCUGGGCGAUCUUUCUUCACAUUAGGUUCUUGCAAACUGUGACACGCUGUUUCUUUUCACUUCCUUCUGUCCUUUCAGCCACUGAUAUUCUUGUGAGAUGGUGGUAAACAGUGGGUGUCAGGCACAUUUACUUCUUUUGAUGCUGAAAGGAUGGUAUCGGUAAAUGAGGGAUCUGCCAUGAAGGUUUUCUUAAGAAUGUGCACCUAUCCUGCUCAACAGUUUCUGUGGAAGAUUUGGGAAACUCAGCAUUCCCGAUAUCCUAAAUCCGUCCCAGUGCCUAGCAUCCUGUUGUUCUAUGCGUCCUUAAAUUCCUCUUUAUUGUGGGUUCCACAACUUUUGCCCAGUGAAUCUUGCAUGAGGCGCUUGAUGACAGUAAG
rnacentral:lncRNA from 1 species